rnacentral:rRNA from 1 species
UGGGGGAUAUUGCACAAUGGGCGAAAGCCUGAUGCAGCGACGCCGCGUGGGGGAUGAAGGCCUUCGGGUUGUAAACUUCUUUUGCUCUGAACAAGGCGCACCAUGGGGUGUGUUGAGUGUAGGGGUUGAUUAGCGCCGGCUAACUACGUGCCAGCAGCCGCGGUAAUACGUAGGGCGCGAGCGUUGUCCGGAAUUAUUGGGCGUAAAGGGCUUGUAGGUGGCUGGUUGCGUCUGUCGUGAAAGCUCAUGGCUUAACUGUGGGUUUGCGGUGGGUACGGGCUGGCUUGAGUGCAGUAGGGGAGGCUGGAAUUCCUGGUGUAGCGGUAGAAUACGCAGAUAUAAGGAGGAGUACCAGUGGCGAAGGCGGGUCUCUGGGCUGUUACUGACACUGAGGAGCGAAAGCAUGGGGAGCGAACAGG